CCUACGGGAGGCAGCAGUGGGGAAUUUUGGACAAUGGGCGCAAGCCUGAUCCAGCAAUGCCGCGUGAGUGAAGAAGGCCUUCGGGUUGUAAAGCUCUUUUGUCAGGGAAGAAACGGUGGGAGCUAAUAUCUCUUGCUAAUGACGGUACCUGAAGAAUAAGCACCGGCUAACUACGUGCCAGCAGCCGCGGUAAUACGUAGGGUGCAAGCGUUAAUCGGAAUUACUGGGCGUAAAGCGUGCGCAGGCGGUUUUGUAAGACUGUCGUGAAAUCCCCGGGCUCAACCUGGGAAUGGCGAUGGUGACUGCAAGGCUAGAGUUUGGCAGAGGGGGGUAGAAUUCCACGUGUAGCAGUGAAAUGCGUAGAUAUGUGGAGGAACACCGAUGGCGAAGGCAGCCCCCUGGGUCAAAACUGACGCUCAUGCACGAAAGCGUGGGGAGCAAACAGGAUUAGAUACCCUGGUAGUCCACGCCCUAAACGAUGUCUACUAGUUGUCGGGUCUUAAUUGACUUGGUAACGCAGCUAACGCGUGAAGUAGACCGCCUGGGGAGUACGGUCGCAAGAUUAAAACUCAAAAGGAAUUGACGG
rnacentral:rRNA from 1 species